CCUACGCGAGACAGCAGUGGGGAAUAUUGGGCAAUGGGCGCAAGCCUGACCCAGCAACGCCGCGUGAAGGAAGAAGGCUUUCGGGUUGUACACUUCUUUUCUCAGGGACGAAGCAAGUGACGGUACCUGAGGAAUAAGCCACGGCUAACUACGUGCCAGCAGCCGCGGUAAUACGUAGGUGGCAAGCGUUAUCCGGAUUUACUGGGGGUAAAGGGCGUGUAGGCGGGACUGCAAGUCAGAUGUGAAAACCACGGGCUCAACCUGUGGCCUGCAUUUGAAACUGUAGUUCGUGAGUACUGGAGAGGCAGACGGAAUUCCUAGUGUAGCGGGGAAAUGCGUAGAUAUUAGGAGGAACACCAGUGGCGAAGGCGGUCUGCUGGA
rnacentral:rRNA from 1 species